GCGACCCCAGGUCAGGCGGGACUACCCGCUGAAUUUAAA
rnacentral:rRNA from 1 species